AUGGACAUCACAUGCCUUGAAGAAACACUGAAGACAUUUCUAGAGCAACAGAAGUAUUUGAUCAUAUUGGAUGAUGUUUGGAAUCCACAGGCAUUUGAUGACUUGUCUAGAGCCCUUAUUCAUAAUGAUAAAGGCAGUAGAGUAAUAAUCACAACAAGGCAAGGGGAUGUUGCUGCACUUGCCUCUCGAGGACAUAUCUUAACACUAGAAGCUUUACCAGAAGAGAAGGCACAUGAUCUCUUUUGUAGGAAAGCCUUUCCAAGAGAUAAAAAUUAUGAAUGUCCUGCCGAGUUGAAGUCUUUGUCAGCAGAAAUUGUUUCCAAGUGCAAAGGCUUACCUCUUGUUAUUGUUUUAGUCGGCAGCCUCCUGCGUGUGCGUCAGAAAACUGUCAAAGAAUGGAGAAGAAUAAAUGACCAAUUGAGUUGGGAGCUAAUUAAUAAUUCGAGGCUUGAUCACAUAAGGAAUAUUUUACACCUGAGCUUCAUCUACCUUCCAACACACUUGAAAAGUUGCUUCUUGUUCUGCAGCUUAUUUCCAGAAGACUAUCUUUUUAAGAGGAAACAUCUUGUACGGUUAUGGACAGCAAAGAUGUUCAUCGAGGAGAGGGGUGAAAGCACAUUAGAAGAAGUAGCAGAAGGCUGUCUGAAGGACUUGAUUGAUAGAAACCUGCUACAACUUGUUAAAAGGAACAGUUUUGGUAGGAUGAAGGCAUUCAAAAUGCACGACAUCUUACGUGAAUUGGCGGUUGAAUUGUGCCAUAAGAACUGUUUUGGUGUCACAUACAAGGAUGAUUGUGGGGUGUCUCUUGAGAUGGAUGGACGUCGAUUGGUACUGCAUAGACCAAAGAAGGAUAUUCAGCUGCCGUUUUCCAGUAUACACCGACUUCGUACGAUCAUUACUCUGAAUGCAUGCAUGGUAUCAUUCACUCUACUACAUAUGCUAUGA
rnacentral:rRNA from 1 species